CAGCAGAUGAUGCGAGUCAGCAGUGUGAUUCAGCAGGUGGUGUGAGUCGGCCGAUGGUGUGAUAGCAGGUCGUGUGUUUAUGCAGCAUGAUUUAGCAGGUGGUGUGAAUUAGCAGUGUGAGUCAGCAGGUGUUGUGAGCUAGCAGUGCGAGUCAGCAGGUGUUGUGAGCUAGCAGUGCGAGUCAGCAGGUGUUGUGAGCUAGCAGUGUGAGUCAGGAGGUGUUGUGAGCUAGACGUGUGAGUCAGCAGGUGUUGUGAGCUAGACGUGUGAGUCAGCAGGUGUUGUGAGCUAGACGUGUGAGUCAGCAGGUGUUGUGAGCUAGACGUGUGAGUCAGCAGGUGUUGUGAGCUAGACGUGUGAGUCAGCAGGUGUUGUGAGCUAGACGUGUGAGUCAGCAGGUGUUGUGAGCUAGACGUGUGAGUCAGCAGGUGUUGUGAGCUAGACGUGUGAGUCAGCAGGUGUUGUGAGCUAGACGUGUGAGUCAGCAGGUGUUGUGAGCUAGACGUGUGAGUCAGCAGGUGUUGUGAGCUAGACGUGUGAGUCAGCAGGUGUUGUGAGCUAGCAGUGCGAGUCAGCAGGUGUUGUGAGUUAGCAGUGUGAGUCAGCAGGUGUUGUGAGCUAGACGUGUGAGUCAGCAGGUGUUGUGAGCUAGCAGUGCGAGUCAGCAGGUGUUGUGAGCUAGACGUGUGAGUCAGCAGGUGUUGUGAGCUAGCAGUGUGAGACAACAGGUGUUGUGAGCUAGCAGUGUGAGUCAGCAGUGUGAGACAACAGGUGUUGUGAGCUAGCAGUGUGAGUCAGCAGUGUAAGUCAGCAGUAUAUGUCAGCAGGUGGUGUGAUUUAGCAGGUGGUGUGAGUCAGAGGGUGGUGUGAAUCGGUAGGUCAUGUGAGUCAGCAGGUGGUGUGAGUCAUGAGGUGAUGUGAAACAAAAGUGGCAGGUGACGUGAAUCAGCUGGUUGUGUACACAGCAGGCGGCCUGGGUCGAUGUUCUGCCGCAAGGGGCGGAGGGUUGAGGUGGAAGGUCCAGGUCAUUCGUCACGUGAAUACAUAUUAGUUUGCAGGGGUAUGAGUUUUUAUAUUUAUUACAAUUAAUUACUUUGCCGACGUUAACAGCGGUAAUAAAUGCAGGAUGUACCUAGAAUGGUCUCAAAAAGCCGACACGAUCACGCUAACAUUACAGAACAGGUAAGUUACAACAGCAAACAUUGCGCAAGUUGGUCUUGAUCCUGAUCUUGAUCUUGAUGUCACAGGAUACUUGAGAUUUAUCUCCAGCCUGGCCUUUGUAUCGGCAGCUCCUCUAAAAGAAAACAAAACAUACAGAAAGACGGUGCCAUAAUCAUGGCAAAAUAUCAUUGCCUACAUCUUCCACGCCACAUGCUCUCCAAUAACUUUUUCACUGCCUCAAUCACUCGUCCAUUCGUCUCUCCACUCAGCCCCAGCAGCAGCACCAUCCACUCCUUUCCAGUCCUCCCAUCACUUCACGUCCCAUCUCACUCAGAAACACCUGCAUCACUUUCGUUCUCUCUUUGUCACACUUCUUACAGUCUAGCACUACACGCUGCACAGUCUGGUUCACACCCCUGUGACCCAUGUGGCACACUUUGCUGCUGGACUCGGACCAUCUAUAGUUCCUUGCAUUCACAUCCAAAUACUGCGCUCUAGCAAUGAAAAGAAGAUCACCUCCCAGGCUUCCCUCAUACCACACCUCACUCUCUGGGGCAUCUUUAUCCCUGUAACAGUCGAGGGUUUCCUUUCUUUCCAUCUCAUUCAUCCACUUGCUCAAUCCUUCAUCUUUUACUGCCAUAUAUAUCACAUUCUUCCACUUUCUUACAUCCCACUCAAACCCCUCUCUAUUGCUGUUUGUUAUUCCCCAUUUAAACACAUUCUGCCUUUCCUCAAAAGGUUAAUACACCCACCUAUUUAGCAAACUAUUCCUGUCUAUCUUUCGCCCACAUAUAUUCGCCCAUUUGCCAUUUCUUAUAUUCCAUUCCACACGUAUAACUUUCGUGUUAAACUUGCAUCCUCCAUUCGCUCCUGUCUCACUUUAUAUCUCAAGGUUGCUUUCAUUAGUCUUUCCCUAAAAGUACUCCAUCCCAUGUCACCCCUAAGAGCCUCUAUUGCUGCAAACCUUGGUGCAUUCAGUGCCAUUCUUGCUACCCUAUUCUGUCCCAAUUCCAGUUUCUCUAUCUCUCUGUCGUUCAAUGUCACCACAUCCAUUCCAUACAUAAUGCUCGGGACAGCCACACUCUUCCAAACCACACGGACGAAUCAUACGUGCUCACUCUCAUCCUCGCUGCACUCCCCAAACUGCCUACCCACUGGCUCGUCGUACCUGUCUUCUCAUUCUUGGCCCUAUCGCAUCCAUUUACAUCCAUCCACACUUUUAGAUACAUGUCUGUUGCAACUCAUUCCCUUCCAGUCUCCAUGUUGUUUGUCUCUCAUCCUCUGACCUAUUAACUAUCAUUAUCUUGCUCUUCGCACUACUAAAUCUAACCCCUAAAUCUCUUCCAUAUCCCCCUACCACAUCUAAUAGUCUUUGUAAGUCUUUAGCAGACACAAUCAUAACCACCUCAUCAUCCGCGUACAACAACACACAUACAUUGUCCUCUCCCACUCUCACCCCUGCAUUCAUUCUUCUCAUCCUGACUGCUAACUCCUCCGUGAGAGACUUGAUCUUGCUCUUGCUUCAGGAGGUAGUCACUCCGUUCGGUAGUAAAGGUAGUAUCUCACUGAGCGACGAACGUUUGGCGAUAGCGGCGACUAGCGGUUCGUUACUUUUGCUGACGAAUUUUGGCGACCCUACUAAUCGCCAAGUAUUCGCAAGUCAGUGAGAGUCCAAAUGCGAAUAGUUGAUGAAUACUUAACGACAUGUUGGAGACAUUUUAAUUAAUAUUUGGCGAACAAUUGAAGAAAAGUUGAAAAACAAUUGACGAAUAGUUGACGAAUUCUGCGAGCAGUCAGCGACAUUUUGCCGAAUGUGGCAAAUAAAGCGACUGUUUGACAACUGUUCGGAGAACAUUUGACAACAAACUGAAGUAUAGCCUAUGAACAGUGUGUGAACAGUCUGUGAAUAGUCCGCGAAUCCACCUCACCCCCCCCCCCUCACCCUCCAAUGGAUCCUACCCUAUAAUACAGGUCGGUUUAAUGUGUCCACUAUCAUUUUCCUCUGUAUCCUCGAAGGAAUCAGUGCUCAGAAGGAUCAAGAUUUUUAGAAACAGUACCCUGCUAUAUUUGAAGAUGAAUUUCCAGAAUUUAAAGAUGGAUUAUUUUAAGGAACAACAGCAGCUUGAAGCAGCUGCAGCUGAAGAAGAAUGUUGCCUGGCAGUUUCCUAGCUUGUUUGCUAGGCGGUCUGCUGGGCAUGGAGGGGCAUCCUGGGCAUCUUUAUGCAUCAUGCUGUCCUUUCUGACUAUCCUUCCUUCUAGGUAUGAUUGUCAAAAAAAUGAUAAAAUGCGCAAACGACGUGAACUGUUCGCCAACCACUCUGAAAAUGAUCGUCAACCGUUCGGCGCGCGCCCCUUUUAUAUCGUCACAGUCACGUGAACAUACACAAUCACCAACCAUGAGCAGAGUUCGCCAACUGUUCGUCAACUAUUCAUGAACUAUUCGUCAACUAUACAUCAACUAUUCGUCAACUAUUCAUCAACUGUUCACUAGUUUUUGUGUUCGUCAACUGGUGGCCAAAUAUUCAUCAACUAUUCGUGAAUUAUUCACCAACUUUUCUUCAACCUGUCGUCAAAAGGGGUGUUAUUAUAAUGUUCGCAUAAAAUUCUCAAAUAAAUUAUAGCGACUACACAAUUCGUCAACUAUUAUCCAACCAUUCGGUGUAUUUGUGAACUAUGCUGUAAUUAUUCUUCAACUAUUCUUCACAUUCUGGAGGUGGGCGAAUAGUUGAAGAAUAGUUGACGAUCAAAAAGACCU